UUAAACUUGAUCGGAAAUUCAAUCUCGCCCACGAUACAAUCGAAACCUCGAUAACAGUAUCGUAAACUCGAGUGUCGUUUAAUCGAUUCGCGAUUGACGCGCUCCUACUUCGAGGAUCAAAUUUCCCUAUAAACGUCCGUCUGCUAGUGACAUGCGUAUAUUCGACGAAUUGGGUCGAAUUCGAGUCGAGAAACGACAGCACAGAAUUGAGAAUCGAAUUAAUUAAGAUGCCUGGAGUGGUUUCCACUUUCGUGGUUUUCGUUCUCCGAUUACAUUAAAAACUCAAGGAUUUCUUAAGAAAACUAGGUCUCGAAAAGAAUUCUUCAGAAAGAAACUUAAUUUUAACCUUACAUGAUUAAAUUUGAUCAUGUUUCAGUUAAAUAUCUUCAGAACAUAACACAUUUGCUGCCACGACGGUGAUCGGUAACCCACGUUACUAAAUAUUUUAGCAUCAUUCGAGUAUUAUAGAUUUCAGGAACUAAAAUUUUUCGACAACGUGAGUGACAUAGAUAAUAUGAAAAAGUGCACAAAUACAAUACAAUAUUUUGCAAAAAUUCAAUAUUAUGGUGUAGUAUAUUUUAAUCUACUGUAACUCCCAUGACACAAGACGUAUAAUAUAUAAAAUUCGCAUGAUAAGCAACAUGUUAAUGUUACACGUUCCUAGCUCUUUCAGAUAGUAAAGGAUUUCUCAGAAAAGAAAAAAGAUAAUAAGAGUAAGUUUUCAAACUGAAGCACAAUCUUCAAGAUUAAAUGAUUUAAUUGUAUCAAGAUUUUAAUUGCAUUUCAGUUAAAAACCUUUAAAACUUAAUGGUAAUUCAUUUCUAGGUCUUUCAGGGAGCAAAAGAUUCCUAGAAAAAAAGAAGAGAUAAUAACUCUUCAAAAAGGAACAUAAUCUUUAAGAUUAUAUGAUCUAAGUUUGAUUGUGUUUCAAUUAAAAAUCUUCAAAUUUUAUGUUAAUUCACUUUUAGGUCUUUCAGAGAGCAAAGGGUUCCUGGAAAAAAAGAGAAAAAUUAAAAAUCUUCAAGGCUUAAUGUUAGUUCAUUUCUAAAUCUUCCAGAGGAUAAAGGGUUUCUUAAAAAAAAGGAGAAGGAAAAUACUGAAAAUUCGCAUAAAUCCCGACAGCUAUGUAUCAAGUAGAAUUGCCGGGAAUUGCCAUGGUAGGACGUUUAUAGUAGAAAUUUGGUGCCGGCCAGAGGAAGCUUGGCGUGCUUUUAAAGAUUGCAUGAGCUACGUUUAGCGGGGAAAAUAACAUGUUGGA